rnacentral:rRNA from 1 species
CCCCGCCUGCCGGAAUUAGCCAACCCUGCCUGAAAAUUGAAGUCUGAGAACAAGUUAAAUUAAACAAAACUUUCAACAACGGAUCUCUUGGUUCUGGCAACGAUGAAGAACGCAGCGAAAUGCGAUAAGUAAUGUGAAUUGCAGAAUUCAGUGAAUCA